rnacentral:rRNA from 1 species
UACGUAGGGUGCAAGCGUUAAUCGGAAUUACUGGGCGUAAAGCGUGCGCAGGCGGUUUCGUAAGUCUGUCGUGAAAUCCCCGGGCUUAACCUGGGAAUGGCGAUGGAGACUGCGAGGCUAGAGUUUGGCAGAGGGGGGUAGAAUUCCACGUGUAGCAGUGAAAUGCGUAGAGAUGUGGAGGAACACCGAUGGCGAAGGCAGCCCCCUGGGUCAAAACUGACGCUCAUGCACGAAAGCGUGGGUAGCAAACAGG